rnacentral:rRNA from 1 species
ACGCUGGCGGCGCGCCUAACACAUGCAAGUCGAACGGAGCUUAGAGAGCUUGCUUUUUAAGCUUAGUGGCGAACGGGUGAGUAACGCGUGAGUAACCUGCCCUAGAGUGGGGGACAACAGUUGGAAACGACUGCUAAUACCGCAUAAGCCCACGGUACCGCAUGGUACUGAGGGAAAAGGAUUUAUUCGCUUUAGGAUGGACUCGCGUCCAAUUAGCUAGUUGGUGAGGUAACGGCCCACCAAGGCGACGAUUGGUAGCCGGACUGAGAGGUUGAACGGCCACAUUGGGACUGAGACACGGCCCAGACUCCUACGGGAGGCAGCAGUGGGGGAUAUUGCACAAUGGGGGAAACCCUGAUGCAGCGACGCCGCGUGGAGGAAGAAGGUUUUCGGAUUGUAAACUCCUGUCGUUAGGGACGAUAAUGACGGUACCUAACAAGAAAGCACCGGCUAACUACGUG